CAGAUGUAGGAUCUUAAUUUGAGCCAGUUUGCCACAGCAGGAAAAUAAUCCGGCAGCAACAGGAAAUGUUUUAAUUAUUAUAUGGAUUAUAAUGUAUGGUAAUUUUUGGGCAGGUUAAUACAUCAAUAUAUAAUAUAAGGGAAAAUAAAGUCUGACAUUUCUAAGUGGAAAUUCCAAAUACAUGUUAAACCUAAAAUACACUACACAUUUUAAAUGUCCUGCAUUGCAGAAAAGUUCUGCAACAGGGUGAUCAAAUUAAAAUCCUACACCUGUAAAAUGGGUCAGAUUUAAGGUGUGACCCCUAAGGGUCCUAUGUAGGGAACAGGGUGCCAGGUGCCAUUAGAGACGGACCCCUAGGGGCCCUAUGUAGGGAACAGGGUGCCAUUAGAGACCAUCCCCUAAGGGCCCUAUGUAGGGAACAGGGUUCCAUUAGAGACUGACACCUAAGGGCCCUAUGUAGGGAACAGGGUCCCAUUAGAGACUGACCCCUAAGGGCCCUAUGUAGGGAAGAGGGUGCCAUUAGAGACUGACCCAUGGUUCCUCUCCUCCCUGGCCAUUAGAGACUGACCCAUAGUUCCUCUCUCUUCCCUGGCCAUUAGAGACUGACCCAUGGUUCCUCUCUCCUUCCUGGCCAUUAGAGACUGACCCAUGGUUCCUUUCUGGACACAUCUGUUUUCAUCUUCACACGACCCUCACAGCUCUAUUUUUCCAGUGAGAUAUACAGCUAGAGCUAUUUUUCAAUGUCAAAAUGUACUAAUAUACUGUUACGGACCAAAAACGUUGUUAGUUAGUGUGCGGUUAACUAGUAGUAGUAGUGCCCAGAAUAGAGCCAGCUGUGUGUAAGGCUCUAAGGGAAAACAGAAUAGAACCAGCUGUGUAUAAGGCUCUAAGGGAAAACAGAAUAGAACCAGCAGUGUAUAAGGCUCUAAGGGAAAACAGAAUAGAACCAGCAGUGUCUAAGGCUCUAAGGGAAAACAGAAUAGAACCAGCAGUGUCUAAGGCUCUAAGGGAAAACAGAAUAGAACCAGCUGUGUGUAAGGCUCUAAGGGAAAACAGAAUAGAACCAGCAGUGUCUAAGGGAAAACAGAAUAGAACCAGCAGUGUAUAAGG
ensembl:lncRNA